AUUGAACGCUGGCGGCAGGCCUAACACAUGCAAGUCGGACGGUAGCACAGAGAGCUUGCUCUCGGGUGACGAGUGGCGGACGGGUGAGUAAUGUCUGGGAAACUGCCCGCUGGAGGGGGAUAACUACUGGAAACGGUAGCUAAUACCGCAUAACGUCUUCGGACCAAAGUGGGGGACCUUCUGGCCUCACACCAUCGGAUGUGCCCAGAUGGGAUUAGCUAGUAGGUGGGGUAAUGGCUCACCUAGGCGACGAUCCCUAGCUGGUCUGAGAGGAUGACCGGCCACACUGGAACUGAGACACGGUCCAGACUCCUACGGGGGGCAGCAGUAGGGAGUAUUGAACAAUGGGCGCAAGCCUGAUGCAGCCAUGCCGCGUGUAUGAAGAAGGCAUUCGGGUUGUAAAGUACUUUCGGCGGGGAGGAAGGCGAUGAGGUUAAUAACCGCAUCGAUUGACGUUACCCGCAGAAGAAACACCGGCUAACUCCGUGCCAGCAGCCGCCGUAA
rnacentral:rRNA from 1 species